ACUCCUACGGGAGGCAGCAGUGGGGAAUAUUGCACAAUGGGCGGAAGCCUGAUGCAGCAACGCCGCGUGCGGGAUGACGGCCUUUCGGGUUGUAAACCGCUUUCGCCUGUGACGAAGCGUGAGUGACGGUAAUGGGUAAAGAAGCACCGGCUAACUACGUGCCAGCAGCCGCGGUGAUACGUAGGGUGCGAGCGUUGUCCGGAUUUAUUGGGCGUAAAGGGCUCGUAGGUGGUUGAUCGCGUCGGAAGUGUAAUCUUGGGGCUUAACCCUGAGCGUGCUUUCGAUACGGGUUGACUUGAGGAAGGUAGGGGAGAAUGGAAUUCCUGGUGGAGCGGUGGAAUGCGCAGAUAUCAGGAGGAACACCAGUGGCGAAGGCGGUUCUCUGGGCCUUUCCUGACGCUGAGGAGCGAAAGCGUGGGGAGCGAACAGGCUUAGAUACCCUGGUAGUCCACGCUGUAAACGGUGGGUACUAGGUGUGGGGUCCAUUCCACGGGUUCCGUGCCGUAGCUAACGCUUUAAGUACCCCGCCUGGGGAGUACGGCCGCAAGGCUAAAACUCAAAGGAAUUGACGGGGCCCCGCACAAGCGGCGGAGCAUGCGGAUUAAUUCGAUGCAACGCGUAGAACCUUACCUGGGUUUGACAUGGAUCGGGAGUGCUCAGAGAUGGGUGUGCCUCUUUUGGGGUCGGUUCACAGGUGGUGCAUGGCUGUCGUCAGCUCGUGUCGUGAGAUGUUGGGUUAAGUCCCGCAACGAGCGCAACCCUUGUUCACUGUUGCCAGCACGUUAUGGUGGGGACUCAGUGGAGACCGCCGGGGUCAACUCGGAGGAAGGUGGGGGAUGACGUCAAGUCAUCAUGCCCCUUGUGUCCAGGGCUUCACGCAUGCUACAAUGGCUGGUACAGAGAGUGGCGAGCCUGUGAGGGUGAGCGAAUCUCGGAAAGCCGGUCUCAGUUCGGAUUGGGGUCUGCAACUCGACCUCAUGAAGUCGGAGUCGCUAGUAAUCGCAGAUCAGCAACGCUGCGGUGAAUACGUUCCCGGGGCUUGUACACACCGCCCGUCAAUCA
rnacentral:rRNA from 1 species